UUAAAUAAAAUAAUUGGGCCUAGAUUAGUCACCAAAAAAAAUUGGGCCUAGAUUUCACGGACGUUAUGCUUCCGCUUUACAUGACCAUUAGCACCGCCACUUUUUGUUUGGUCGGUGCAUUGAUUUUUUCUGGACCUGAUGCCCUGACCUUUUUCGGCCAUGGACCUGAUACCCGCCUAUUGGGCUUCCAUACCAUCAUCUUCCUUCUUUAUGGUCUUAACGACCAAAACUUUCAUCAUUGGCUCGCUCUUCAGAUUUUUUUCUCUCUUUUCAUUUUUGGAGUAAAAAACUUUUCACAUCUAAAUUCUGAAUUUCUAAUAUCCCGAAAAUGUACGGCCACCGACACCGUUACCACCGCGGCGGCAAAACGCUUGUGGCGCUCCAGGCUGAUUCCCGGUACACUUUGGGCAUCAAAAUGCAGCAGGUUUGAACGGUUAUUUUGUUGUCGAAGAUAAUGAAUGAUUCAAGCUCAGACUGUCAAUUGAAUCAAAGCGAAGUGGAUUAUUGUUUUGAAUCGAAUGAAGGGACUGAGGUGUGGUUCAAUUCUAGUUAAUGUUGUCCGUUAGUAGUUUAUGAUUCUGUAGGUGAAUAAUAAUAUUUUUUUUUUGUAAAAAUUGUUGUUCAUGGUUGAUGGUUUGAAAUGAAUGUAAUGUACCAGUUCUGAAUCUGAUUCUAUUAUUUUGAUGAAUCUAUUUUCUCCUCCCGUUUCGGUGUAUUUCGAUUAUAAAUUGAUGUAUUUUGGAAA